AUACUUACCUGGCAGGGGGAGAACUAUGGUCAAGAAAGUGGCCUCCCCAGGGUGAGGCUUAACCCAUUGCACUCUGGGUGUGCUCACUCCUGUGAUUUUCCCCAAAUGUAGGAAACUCAGUUGCAUAAUUUGUGGUAGUGGGGAACUGCGUUUGUGCUCUCCCCAA